rnacentral:tRNA from 1 species
GCCUAGUUAGCUUGGUUGGUAGCGCGUCUGCCUUGUAAGCGCUAGAUCGCGGGUUCGAUUCCCGCCUGGGGUG